UUGUUUAAGGGAUGCCACAUUACAAAUCAACCAUGUGUCUUACUUCAUGGCUUUCAAAGUGUUCUGGGCUUUCUUUGGGUGGAUGACUGGCAGCCUGUGGACCUUUGGCAAACUCUGAUAGUCAGGCUAUAAUCAAAUUGUUUGGAACUGAAGUCUAGGACAAUUCUUGGUUAUAAUCUUGUUUCUGUUCAUUGAGCUCUUUAAUAAAAAUGUCUCAGUGGUAGGAAGGAAAGGUUCCAUGAAGAGCCUGGAAGCUGCACGUCCCAUUUGUGCUGAAGUUAAAAGAAUCAAAGGAUGAAACUUUUGUAACAAGCAGGAGAGGAUGAAACACUGUGAUAGUCUGUGCACAGAUCCAUCCGCACCCAUGAGUGCAUAUGCCUUAAAAAAAUCACUUUCAUGAAAGGACAAGAAGUAACUAAGGUGCUUUAAACUGGGAGUGAUGGUUCGGAAGCAAUCCAGCCAGAAUGAGGACAGGCAGCUAGGGAAACAGUCUCCUCCAGACAUUUUCUCCCGAGGUGAGAGAUGUACCAUUCAGUUUAAUCCAUCUACUUCAGAUAAAGCUGCAAAUAAUGGAAAAAGGAUGACCCACAGAUAUUGGGAGUGAUCUAGCUCUAGCCUUGUCCUGUGCAUCAUCUUCUGUACUUCUCCAUGACAACCCCAUCACAUCUCCCCAGAAGGAAAAGGGCUGAAGACAAAAGGAAUCUGGGCCCAUGGACUGGAUUGCC